GUCUUCCUCCAAGGAUCUACACACACACACACACACACACACACACACACACACACACACACACACAAACACACACCUUUCUCUUGACUCAACAUCCAAUUGCAACUGCUCAGUUAUUGAGAAUACAUGUCUCUGGAGCAUCCCGUUGGGAAAGACACCAGGAAAUAAGCUGCAGUAUGCACUGGGGACAUCCAACUGUUUGAAAAAAGGGUUUUUAUGAUAUACACAACUCAGAAACAAACAUCCCUCCAAUGCAUAAAAAUCAUAGUCAAGUAAAAUUGGUAUGUAGAAAUUUACCUUAAUAGUAGACAGAAUCUAGAGAGGGAGUUUUGUUCUUUCCCAUAUAAGAAAUGGCACCCUGUCAUGAGAAGAUCCAUGCUGAAAAUGAUCAUUUACAGUUCUGUUUCAUAUUAAAGUUUUAGAACCUCAACAGUAUGCAGUCGACUAGAUAAGCAUCUAUUAUUAUGUGUGCUUAUUUUCAUGCUCCUUUGAUUUUAUUUGAAGGACAUGUAUCCCAGUUAACAGUAGCAGGCAGUUCCUUCUGUGUAAAUGCAAAUCCUCAUUUCUAGCAGGAGGAAUGUUUAAAAGGGUGUUCAGGUAAAUACAGUGUCACAUUGAAGAUCUCAAGUGUUUUAACAAUAGAAAUUCUAUCUUGGAAAGGCAGUUCACUAAAUCUAUGGUGGACCAAGAGACCUGUGUGCUGGAUCGGGAGAAGUCAACAUUUGGAGGAACAACCAACUGCUUUGCCUGUGGCAGGUGACCUACUUCUUUCAAAAGGACAAAAUCAGUCUGUCUAUCUUAAUUUAUGUCUGAAGUUUACAAUGUGGAAUCAAGAAUAAGUGUGAAAACAGCCGGU
rnacentral:lncRNA from 1 species